GAUGAACGCUGGCGGCGUGCCUAAUACAUGCAAGUCGAGCGAACGGACGAGAAGCUUGUUUUUCUGAUGUUAGCGGCGGACGGGCGAGUAACACGUGGAUAACCUACUUAUAAGACUGGGAUAACUUCGGGAAACCGGAGAUAAUACCGGAUAAUAUUUUGAACCGCAUGGUUCAAAAGUGAAAGACGGUCUUGCCGUCACUUAUAGAUGGAUCCGCGCUGCAUUAGCUAGUUGGUAAGGUAACGGCUUACCAAGGCAACGAUGCAUAGCCGACCUGAGAGGGUGAUCGGCCACACUGGAACUGAGACACGGUCCGGACUCCUACGGGAGGCAGCAGUAGGGAAUCUUCCGCAAUGGGCGAAAGCCUGACGGAGCAACGCCGCGUGAGUGAUGAAGGUCUUCGGAUCGUAAAACUCUGUUAUUAGGGAAGAACAUAUGUGUAAGUAACUGUGCACAUCUUGACGGUACCUAAUCAGAAAGCCACGGCUAACUACGUG
rnacentral:rRNA from 1 species